rnacentral:rRNA from 1 species
CCUGGUGACUAUACCGCGGGGGUCACACCUCUUCCCAUUCCGAACAGAGAAGUUAAGCCCCGUCGGGCCGAUGGUACUGCUUCUUUCAGAUGUGGGAGAGUAGGUCGUUGCCAGGC